UACAGAGGACUCGAGCGUUGUUCGGAUUCAUUGGGCGUAAAGGGCGCGUAGGCGGCGGGGUAAGUCUGGUGUGAAAUCUCGGAGCUCAACUCCGAAAUUGCACUGGAUACUGCUCUGCUAGAGGGCUGGAGAGGAGAUCGGAAUUCACGGUGUAGCAGUGAAAUGCGUAGAUAUCGUGAGGAAGACCAGUGGCGAAGGCGGAUCUCUGGACAGCUCCUGACGCUGAGGCGCGAAGGCUAGGGGAGCAAACGGG
rnacentral:rRNA from 1 species